rnacentral:rRNA from 1 species
AACUCGGAGGAAGGUGGGGAUGACGUCAGAUCAUCAUGCCCCUUACGUCCAGGGCUUCACGCAUGCUACAAUGGCCGGUACAACGGGAUGCGACGCGGCGACGCGGAGCGGAUCCCUGAAAACCGGUCUCAGUUCGGAUCGCAGUCUGCAACUCGACUGCGUGAAGGCGGAGUCGCUAGUAAUCGCGAAUCAGCAACGUCGCGGUGAAUGCGUUCCCGGGCCUUGUACACACCGCCCGUCAAGUCAUGAAAGUGGGCAGCACCCGAAGCCGGUGGCCUAACCCCUUGUGGGAUGGAGCCGUCUAAGGUGAGGCUCGUGAUUGGGACUAAGUCGUAACAAGGUAGCCGUACCGGAAGGUGCGGCUGGAUCACCUCCUUU